UACGGAGGGAGCUAGCGUUGUUCGGAAUUACUGGGCGUAAAGCGUACGUAGGCGGUUACUCAAGUCAGAGGUGAAAGCCCGGGGCUCAACUCCGGAACUGCCUUUGAAACUAGGUAGCUAGAAUCUUGGAGAGGUCAGUGGAAUUCCGAGUGUAGAGGUGAAAUUCGUAGAUAUUCGGAAGAACACCAGUGGCGAAGGCGACUGACUGGACAAGUAUUGACGCUGAGGUACGAAAGCGUGGGGAGCAAACAGG
rnacentral:rRNA from 1 species